rnacentral:lncRNA from 1 species
AUGGGGGCCCCGGCACCAGUACUGCCCAUACUGGGACCAGUACGGGGAAUCUGGCACCUGCACUGGUGGUACUGGGACCAGUACGGGAGCACCAGUGCUAGUACUGCCCAUACUGGGACCAGUACGGGGGCUCUGGCCCCUGCACUGGUGGUACUGGGACCAGUACAGGAGCUCCGGCCCCUGUACUGCCUGUACUGGGACCAGUACAGGGGUCCUGGCACCAGUACUGCCUGUACUGGGACCAGUACGGGGUCCCGGCCCCUGUACUACUGGUACUGGGAACAGUACAGGGGCCCCAGCACCUGUACUGGUGGUACCGGGACCAGCACAGGAGCUCCGGCACCUGUACUGGUGGUACUGGGACCAGUACAGGGUCCCGGCACCUGUACGGGUGGUACUGGGACCAGCACGGGAGCUCCGGCACCUGUACUGGUGGUACUGGGACCAGCACGGGAGCUCCGGCACCUGUACUGGUGGUACUGGGACCAGUACGGGAGCUCCGGCACCUCUACUGCCCGUACUGGGACCAGUACGGGGUCCCUGCACCUGUACUGGUGGUACUGGGACCAGUACGGGAGCUCCGGCACCUCUACUGCCUGUACUGGGACCAGUACGGGGGCCCCGGCACCUGUUCUGGUGGUACCGGGACCAUUACAGGAGCUCCGGCACCUGUACUGCCCAUACUGGGACCAGUACGGGGGACCCGGCACCAGUACUGCCCGUACUGGGACCAGUACAGGAGCUCCGGCACCUCUACUGCCCAUACUGGGACCAGUACGGGGGCCCCGGCACCUGUACUGGUGGUACUGGGACCAGUACGGGAGCUCCGGCACCUCUACUGCCCGUACUGGGACCAGUAUGGGAGCUCCGGCACCAGUACUGCCUGUACUGGGACCAGUACGGGAGCUCCGGCACCUGUACUGGCCGUCCUGGGACCAGUACGGGAGCUCCGGCACCUGUACUGGUGGUACUGGGACCAGUAUGGGAGCUCCGGCAACAGUACUGCCUGUACUGGGAGCAGUACGGGAGCUCUGGCACCUGUACUGGUGGUACUGGGACCAGUACAGGGGCCCCAGCACCAGUACUGCCCGUACUGGGACCAGUACGGGGGCCCCGGCACCAGUACUGCCCGUACUGGGACCAGUAUGGGGGCCCCGGCACCUGUACUGCCCGUACUGGGACCAGUACGGGAGCUCCGGCACCAGUACUGCCUGUACUGGUCCCAGUGCGGGAGCUCCGGCACCAGUACUGCCCGUACUGGGACCAGUAUGGGAGCUCCAGCACCUGUACUGCCCGUACUGGGACCAGUACAGGAGCUCCGGCACCAGUACUGGUGGUACGGGGACCAGUACGGGGGCCCCGGCACCUGUACUGGUGGUACUGGGACCAGUACGGGAGCUCCGGCACCUCUACUGCCCGUACUGGGACCAGUACGGGAGCUCCGGCACCAGUACUGCCCGUACUGGGACCAGUACGGGAGCUCCGGCACCUCUACUGGUAGUACUGGGAACAGUACAGGAGCUCCGGCCCCAGUACUGCCCGUACUGGGACCAGUACGGGAGCUCCGGCACCUGUACUGGUGGUACUGGGACCAGUACGGGAGCUCCGGCACCUCUACUGCCCGUACUGGGACCAAUAUGGGAGCUCUGGCACCAGUACUGCCCGUACUGGGACCAGUACGGGAGCUCCGGCACCUCUACUGGUGGUACUGGGACCAGUACAGGAGCUCCGGCACCAGUACUGCCCGUACUGGGACCAGUACGGGGGCCCCGGCACCUGUACUGGUGGUACUGGGACCAGUACGGGAGCUCCGGCACCAGUACUGCCCGUACUGGGACCAGUACGGGGGCCCCGGCACCUGUUCUGGUGGUACUGGGACCAGUACGGGAGCUCCGGCACCUGUUCUGGUGGUACUGGGACCAGUACGGGAGCUCCGGCACUUCUACUGCCCGUACUGGGACCAGUACGGGGUCCCUGCACCUGUACUGGUGGUACUGGGACCAGUACGGGAGCUCUGGCACCAGUACUGGUGGUCCUGGGACCAGUAGGGGUCUGUGGCACCCGUUCUGGUGGUACUGGGACCAGUAUGGGGAUCUCUGGUACUGGUUGUACUGAACCGGGUCUACUGAGGCUAUGGGAUGCCCAUACUUGACCAGUACGGACCAGUAAGGGCCAGUACGGACCAGUGAGUGCCAAUAGGGACCAGUAUAAACCAGUAAGGACCAGUAUGUGGGCUGUGGCGCCGAACUGGGUGUACUGAGGCUAUGGAGUGCUUGUACUGAACCAGUAAGGACCAGUAAAAACCCAUAAUGGACAAUAGGGACCAGUGAGGCCCAGUAUGAACCAGUAAGGACCAGUACGGGGAUUUCUGGUACUGGUAGUACCGAACUGGGUGUACUGAGGCUAUGGGAUGCUCAUACUUGACCAGUAAGGCCCAGUAUGAACCAGUAAAGGCCAAUAGGCACCAGUAAGGACCAGUAUGGGGAU